rnacentral:lncRNA from 1 species
UCCAAUAAUGCAGAACCAAACUCAAGGGUAAAACAAAGACAAGCACCCAUGCCUAGAUCUGAUACUACUAGCAGCAUAUGAUGUCGAAACCAUAAUAGAGGCACAUUUGCUAACUAACAGAAUUUAAACACUUAAUUACAACCCACCCCUCAGUAAUUAUAUGUGAAUCAUGAAUUUAAAAGAAGAACAGACGAUUUAGAUAACAUGGCACCAAACUUCAUCUUAUUCAAAUUCAUAUUUCAAGUUAUACAUCAAGUGAUGUCCAUAGGGCUGAAUAAUACCUGAAAUUUGCAAAAAAAGAAGAAGAGGUGAGGAGCAAUAAACAACAGCGGCAACGGAAUCCAGUAAGAAGGAAUCAACACCAAUUUAAACCUAAAAAUGUUGUGCCAUUGUCUAGAAACAGUUUCAAUCAAACAAAGACCCAGCAAACCUCAAACCAGACUCGAUCUCAAACCAUUAUAAUCUCAGCUAACCAGAAAUUGCUUUAGAAUUAGAGAAACUUCAGAAAUCACCAAAAGAAUUCAAUGGAACAGUGUUUUUCUAAAGUUUCCAGUCGUUUUCGUUUUUCUAAUUUUUUU